rnacentral:tRNA from 1 species
GGGUCUAUAGCUCAGUUGGCUAGAGCGUGCGGUUCAUACCCGCAAGGUCAGUGGUUCGAAUCCACUUAGACCCACCA